UACAGAGGUCCCAAGCGUUGUUCGGAUUCACUGGGCGUAAAGGGUGCGUAGGUGGCGAGGAAAGUCGGAUGUGAAAGCUCGGAGCUCAACUCCGAAAUGGCAUUGGAAACUACCUUGCUCGAGGGUUGGAGGGGGGACUGGAAUUCUCGGUGUAGCAGUGAAAUGCGUAGAUAUCGAGAGGAACACCAGUGGCGGAGGCGAGUCCCUGGACAACUCCUGACACUGAGGCACGAAAGCUAGGGGAGCAAACAGG
rnacentral:rRNA from 1 species